CUACAAUGGAUGGUACAAAGGGCCGCAAGACCGUGAGGUCAAGCCAAUCCCAUAAAACCAUUCUCAGUUCGGAUUGUAGGCUGCAACUCGCCUACAUGAAGCUGGAAUCGCUAGUAAUCGCGGAUCAGCAUGCCGCGGUGAAUACGUUCCCGGGCCUUGUACACACCGCCCGUC
rnacentral:rRNA from 1 species